UCUCGAAAUCCCCCCGGAUCUGCGCGGCCACUGAGGGAAGCAGCCCGGCUCUGAACAAGCCCAGGCAAGCCCAGGCAGAGCCCGCUUCUUGGUCCUCCCUCCUGCGCGCACCACCCGGCCCCGGGGCGAGAGACGCGUCUCUCCAGCCCCAGGUCCGUGGAGUCGACUCGCUCCAGACAGGCCGGGCGCCUACAGCUCCUCCAACUGAAAAGGAAAAGGGCCCAGCCACCAAAAUGCCUUGACCUGGGCCACUAACAGAUGAAUGGGUACACUUGGGAGACACCAGACUCUGGAUCCAUCCAGCACCCGGAUGUACACACACCCCUGACUAACAAGCAAAGGGGCUACGGAGAAAGGGGGCUACAGAAGUAACAAGGACAAGCUUCAAUUUAUGCCCCCCGCCCCAGACACAGCUUCGAAACAGUGCACCCGGGAGGCAUUCAUGUCUUAAAUCUAACCACCAUGGCCCAAGGAGUCCUGUUCCCCAGUCGGCCUAAUGAGAUUGAUCUUGUCCAAAAAUGUGAAUUAAAAAAUAGGAUAACAAUGUCCUGGGAUUAGAUCAUACGGAUGGUUGCACAAUUUUGUAAAUCUAGUCAUCCCUCCGUAUCCAAGGGGGAUUGGUUCCAGGACCCGCCUCAGAUCCCAAAAUUUGAGAAUGCUCAACUUCCUCAUAUAAAAUGAGGUAGUAUUUGGAUAUAACCUAGGCACAUCUUCCCGUAUUCAUUAUAUCAUCUCUAGGUUACCUAUAAUACCUAGUACAAUAUAAACACAAUGUAAAUAAUUGUAAAUUUAAUGUAAAUGAUAUGUAAAUAGUUGCUGGCACCAGCAAAUUAAAGUUUCGC